rnacentral:lncRNA from 1 species
UUUAAUUUAUUUAAAAUCUCUUGUUCACUGAAACCAUCAAUAUUCCAUUCAUAAAUUUUAUUAGAUGAAUUAGAGAAUUAUUGAUCUAGAUUUCUCUCUUCGAACUAUAAAUUCGGAGUAUUAGGUCUAGAGUACCAAUUCCUAGUUAUGCUAGUGUUUUUAACUGUUAAUUUGUUUAACUGAUCAUUAAAAUCUAAGACUGAAAUGGCAUCAGAAUGAUCUGACUGGCUAUUGCUUUCAUUGUCAGUUUUGACUUAAUCAAUGAUUGUUAUAG